rnacentral:rRNA from 1 species
AUUGAACGCUGGCGGCAGGCCUAACACAUGCAAGUCGAGCGGAUGAGUGGAGCUUGCUCCAUGAUUCAGCGGCGGACGGGUGAGUAAUGCCUAGGAAUCUGCCCGAUGGUGGGGGACAACGUUUCGAAAGGAACGCUAAUACCGCAUACGUCCUACGGGAGAAAGUGGGGGCUCUUCGGACCUCACGCUCUCGGAUGCGCCUGGGUCGGAUUAGUUAGUUGGGUGGGUAAAGGCUCACGACGGAGCCGAUCCGUAACUGGUCUGAGAGGAUGAUCAGUCACAGUGCAACUGAGACACGGUCCAGACUCCUCCGGGAGGCACCAGUGGGGAAUAUUGGACAAUGGGCGAAACCCUGAUCCAGCCAUGCCGAGUGUGUGAAGAAGGUCUUCGGAUUGUAAAGCACUUUAAGUCGGGAGGAAGGGCUGCAGGUUAAUCCCUUGCAGCCUAGACGUUACCGACAGAAUAAGCACCGGCUAACUUCGUGCCAGCAGCCGCCGUAAGAC